UACGUAGGGAGCAAGCGUUGUCCGGAAUCAUUGGGCGUAAAGCGCGCGUAGGUGGCCUCAUAAGUCCGCUGUGAAAGUCAAAGGCUCAACCUUUGAAAGCCGGUGGAUACUGUGGGGCUAGAGUACGGAAGAGGCGAGUGGAAUUCCUGGUGUAGCGGUGGAAUGCGCAGAUAUCAGGAGGAACACCAAUAGCGAAGGCAGCUCGCUGGGACGUUACUGACACUGGAGGCGCGAAAGCGUGGGUAGCAAACAGG
rnacentral:rRNA from 1 species